rnacentral:rRNA from 1 species
UACGAAGGGUGCUAGCGUUGCUCGGAAUCACUGGGCGUAAAGGGCGCGUAGGCGGCUUGUCGCGUCGGAUGUGACAGCCCGGGGCUUAACUCCGGGUCUGCAUUCGAUACGGGCAGGCUAGAGUUCGGUAGGGGAGAUCGGAAUUCCUGGUGUAGCGGUGAAAUGCGCAGAUAUCAGGAGGAACACCGGUGGCGAAGGCGGAUCUCUGGGCCGAUACUGACGCUGAGGAGCGAAAGCGUGGGGAGCGAACAGG